GGGGGAGGGGCGCCGCAGGGGCGAGGAGCCCUUCUCCUCCGCUCAGAUCCCCGCACUUGCCGGCCCUGAAGUACAUUGGACAAAGGCGGCGUGCUGGUCGGGGCGCUGCACGCCUUCCCGGAACUCCAACCAUUUCCAAAAGCAGAGGGGAGAUGUUCACACAGGAAUAGAUUUGGGCUAUCGUGGAGAAAAAAGAAGCCAAGGAGCCAAUGAGAUCUCUGGUGCCAUGAAGCUGUCUUCCCUAGAGUUGCCUGUUCCUUCUCUCUCCUUAGAGAAAUGUCAGUGAAUACACUGACUGGCCAGAGACCAUUUCUUUUUACUGAGAAUAUAAACCAAGAGUGAAGAGUCUAUAAUGUAAACCAAAAUUAAUUUGUAAUUUUGUAACAAAGAAUAAAAAACAUUUUAUUUGAGCCCA